AAGAACAUUUAUGUAAAACUGCCAUUAAUCCAAUCAUGUAACAGUUAGGUAUAAUCACAGUCAAGCAGGAGACUGAAAUCGUCAUUGACCUUCCCAAUUUGUUAAAGCUUGAAAAUUCCGCCGUUAACAAGCCGUUCAAUUCAACCAACAAGAGAUCUGGAAACUGUUAUCUUAACCGCCGAGGUUAAUGAAUUGGCUGAGAAGUAUCUGAGAGUUUUGACUUUAAGGAGUGUUGUUUUGUCUCAUGCGAGUUGGAUGGCCAUUGCUUGGUAACUUGGUAGAAGGGGACAAUGAGAAUAACAACACUAUGGAAGAAAAAAACAUUGGGUUGUGAUGAUGAAUCAGUGGUGUCCAAGAGACUCCCGUUGGCUCCUUUUGGCUUAGUUACCUACAAAUGCAAGGAGGUUUGUGGGAGAAACAACAUUAUGUUGACCAGUAACAGUUAGUUUAUCUUGGAAAUGCAGCGAAGUCAUGGCUGAAGCAGCUUAAUGUACAUGAUCACCAUGACUACAGCCUUUUCUCUGUGAACAAGAGCUUGUAGAGGUCCAAGUGACAAGACUCUGUUUUUGGCUCUGUUUUUAGUUGUUUUUUAGAUACAUAUUGCAGAGGUUUCUUGCCCAUGUGUUGCAGCCAUGGAAAAUAAAGAACAUGGGUUUAGGUUUUGAGUUUACAAAUGAUGAGAUAAACAAUGGUCUUAUUAUUUGACCUUUGAGAGACAUACACAUAGAAAUGAACCUUAU